rnacentral:rRNA from 1 species
GAUGAACGCUGGCGGCGUGCCUAAUACAUGCAAGUCGAGCGAAUGGAUUAAGAGCUUGCUCUUAUGAAGUUAGCGGCGGACGGGUGAGUAACACAUGGGUAACCUGCCCAUAAGACUGGGAUAACUCCGGGAAACCGGGGCUAAUACCGGAUAACAUUUUGAACCGCAUGGUUCGAAAUUGAAAGGCGGCUUCGGCUGUCACUUAUGGAUGGACCCGCGUCGCAUUAGCUAGUUGGUGAGGUAACGGCUCACCAAGGCAACGAUGCGUAGCCGAACUGGGAGGGUGAUCGGCCACAGUGGGACUGAGACACGGCCCAGACUCCUACGGGAGGCAGCAGUAGGGAAUCUUCCGCAAUGGACGAAAGUCUGACGGAGCAACGCCGCGUGAGUGAUGAAGGCUUUCGGGUCGUAAAACUCUGUCGUUAGGGAAGAACAAGUGCUAGUUGAAUAAGCUGGCACCUUGACGGUACCUAACCAGAAAGCCACGGCUAACUACGUGGCAGCCGCCGCAGUAA